rnacentral:rRNA from 1 species
CCUACGGGAGGCAGCAGUGAGGAAUAUUGGUCAAUGGGCGCGAGCCUGAACCAGCCAAGUAGCGUGAAGGAUGACUGCCCUACGGGUUGUAAACUUCUUUUAUAAAGGAAUAAAGUGAGGCACGUGUGCCUUUUUGCAGGUACUGUAUGAAUAAGGAUCGGCUAACUCCGUGCCAGCAGCCGCGGUAAUACGGAGGAUCCGAGCGUUAUCCGGAUUUAUUGGGUUUAAAGGGAGCGUAGGUGGGUUGUUAAGUGAGUUGUGAAAGUUUGCGGCUCAACCGUGGAAUUGCAAUUGAUACUGGCAGCCUUGAGUGCAGUUGAGGUAGGCGGAAUUCGUGGUGUAGCGGUGAAAUGCUUAGAUAUCACGAAGAACUCCGAUUGCGAAGGCAGCUUACUAAACUGCCACUGACGUUGAGGCUCGAAAGUGUGGGUAUCAAACAGGAUUAGAUACCCCUGUAGUC